CGGGACGGGUGAGUAACGCGUGGGCAACCUACCUUAUACAGGGGGAUAACAGCUGGAAACAGCUGCUAAUACCGCAUAAGCGCACGGCACCGCAUGGUGCAGUGUGAAAAGCCGAGACGGUAUAAGAUGGGCCCGCGUCUGAUUAGCUAGUUGGGAGGGUAACGGCCUACCAAGGCGACGAUCAGUAGCCGGCCUGAGAGGGCGGACGGCCACAUUGGGACUGAGACACGGCCCAGACUCCUACGGGAGGCAGCAG
rnacentral:rRNA from 1 species